GACGAACGCUGGCGGCGUGCCUAAUACAUGCAAGUAGAACGCACAGUUUAUACCGUAGCUUGCUACACCAUAGACUGUGAGUUGCGAACGGGUGAGUAACGCGUAGGUAACCUGCCUGGUAGCGGGGGAUAACUAUUGGAAACGAUAGCUAAUACCGCAUAAUAUUGAUUAUUGCAUGAUAAUUAAUUGAAAGGUGCAAUUGCACCACUACCAGAUGGACCUGCGUUGUAUUAGCUAGUAGGUGAGGUAACGGCUCACCUAGGCGACGAUACAUAGCCGACCUGAGAGGGUGAUCGGCCACACUGGGACUGAGACACGGCCCAGACUCCUACGGGAGGCAGCAGUAGGGAAUCUUCGGCAAUGGACGAAAGUCUGACCGAGCAACGCCGCGUGAGUGAAGAAGGUGUUCGGAUCGUAAAGCUCUGUUGUAAGAGAAGAACGGGUGUGAGAGUGGAAAGUUCACACUGUGACGGUAUCUUACCAGAAAGGGACGGCUAACUACGUGC
rnacentral:rRNA from 1 species